GGGGAUGAAUAGAUUCGACGGAGUUCAUGAGGCCCUUUUUUGCAUGCGGACCUACGCCAUGUUCAAGUCCUAAAAAGGUCAUGGCACAAAACUAAAUGCCAACGACAACGUUGAGCUAGCAAUAGCCGCUUAAUAAGCCGGCUACGUUAACCAUCCGACACCGGCUACGGUGGAAGACGUCAUCCAGUCGGUUAGUUGUUUAACAUCUCUUGGGUUAAACAGCGAAACUCUUCAAGGGUAUGCCUCUUUCGGAUUUUGUCUCUUUCAACCGGAAAGGAUGAAGAAAAAAAAGAGUCUACGCAUGUAGAAAAGAAGGGAAGACGAUCUUCGGACGCGAGUGCAAUUCUCGCCAUCUCCACCA
rnacentral:tmRNA from 1 species